UACGUAGGGGCCGAGCGUUGUCCGGAGUUACUGGGCGUAAAGCGCGCGCAGGCGGCUCGUCAAGCCUGACGUGAAAGCCCCCGGCUCAACCGGGGAGGGUCGUCGGGGACUGGCGGGCUUGAGGUCGGCAGGGGUUGGUGGAAUUCCCGGUGUAGUGGUGAAAUGCGUAGAUAUCUGGAGGAACACCGGUGGCGAAGGCGGCAUCCUGGACCAACACUGACACUGAGGAGCGAAAGCCGGGGGAGCAAACGGG
rnacentral:rRNA from 1 species